GAUUGAACGCUGGCGGCAGGCCUAACACAUGCAAGUCGAGCGGUAGAGAGGAGCUUGCUUCUCUUGAGAGCGGCGGACGGGUGAGUAAUGCCUAGGAAUCUGCCUGGUAGUGGGGGAUAACGUUCGGAAACGGACGCUAAUACCGCAUACGUCCUACGGGAGAAAGUGGGGGAUCUUCGGACCUCACGCUAUCAGAUGAGCCUAGGUCGGAUUAGCUAGUUGGUGGGGUAAAGGCUCACCAAGGCGACGAUCCGUAACUGGUCUGAGAGGAUGAUCAGUCACACUGGAACUGAGACACGGUCCAGACUCCUACGGGAGGCAGCAGUGGGGAAUAUUGGACAAUGGGCGAAAGCCUGAUCCAGCCAUGCCGCGUGUGUGAAGAAGGUCUUCGGAUUGUAAAGCACUUUAAGUUGGGAGGAAGGGCAGUAAGCUAAUACCUUGCUGUUUUGACGUUACCGACAGAAUAAGCACCGGCUAACUCUGU
rnacentral:rRNA from 1 species